rfam:Loxodonta africana unplaced genomic scaffold scaffold_25, whole genome shotgun sequence.
GCAUUGGUGGUUCGGUGAUAGAAUUCUUGCCUUUUAUGCAGGAGGCCUGGGUUCGAUUCCCAACCAAUGCA